rnacentral:rRNA from 1 species
AAGUUAGCGGCGGACGGGUGAGUAACACGUGGGUAACCUGCCCAUAAGACUGGGAUAACUCCGGGAAACCGGGGCUAAUACCGGAUAACAUUUUGAACCGCAUGGUUCGAAAUUGAAAGGCGGCUUCGGCUGUCACUUAUGGAUGGACCCGCGUCGCAUUAGCUAGUUGGUGAGGUAACGGCUCACCAAGGCAACGAUGCGUAGCCGACCUGAGAGGGUGAUCGGCCACACUGGGACUGAGACACGGCCCAGACUCCUACGGGAGGCAGCAGUAGGGAAUCUUCCGCAAUGGACGAAAGUCUGACGGAGCAACGCCGCGUGAGUGAUGAAGGCUUUCGGGUCGUAAAACUCUGUUGUUAGGGAAGAACAAGUGCUAGUUGAAUAAGCUGGCACCUUGACGGUACCUAACCAGAAAGCCACGGCUAACUACGUGCCAGCAGCCGCGGUAAUACGUAGGUGGCAAGCGUUAUCCGGAAUUAUUGGGCGUAAAGCGCGCGCAGGUGGUUUCUUAAGUCUGAUGUGAAAGCCCACGGCUCAACCGUGGAGGGUCAUUGGAAACUGGGAGACUUGAGUGCAGAAGAGGAAAGUGGAAUUCCAUGUGUAGCGGUGAAAUGCGUAGAGAUAUGGAGGAACACCAGUGGCGAAGGCGACUUUCUGGUCUGUAACUGACACUGAGGCG